UUUUGCGUUUGGCUUGUUAUCAACAAUAGCGUUACCUACUGCGUGCAAUAAGUGCGUUUUACCUAAACCCGUUCCACCAUA
rnacentral:antisense_RNA from 1 species